rnacentral:lncRNA from 1 species
CCACCCUCAGGCCAGUGAUGGCUGACUUGAGGCCUCAGCUUGACUGCAUUCAGGGACACUGCAAUAGCUGGUAGAGCAUUAUUUAUUCUCAGCCCUUCAGACGACACGCAGCCCAUUCCUUUUCUGCUAAAAGGAAAACCCAGGUGGUUUUGCUUUUGAUUUUAAUGCUUGGGCUGCCCCAGGUGUAUAUGUGAGAGUAUUUCUCGGAAGACACUGGCCUGUGAGUGGGUGAACUGAGUGGAGAAGCUCCACCCUCAAUGCAGGCAGGCACCAUUUAAUCAGCUGGGGGCCUGGAGAGAAAAGGCAGAGGAAGGGCAAAUUAUUUUUCUCUUUCUUUUGGAGCCAGGAUGUUUUUCUCCUUCCAUUGGAUGUCAGAAAGCUAGGUUCUCCAGCUUUUGGACUCUGGGAUUUGCACCAGAGCCUGCCCCCGGCAACCCCGACUCAGGCUUUUGGCCUUGAAAUGAGUUAUGCCAUCAGCUUAUUUAUUUGUAAGGCCUUCGGACUUGAACUGUGCCACAUCCUCAGCUUUCCAGAUUCUCCAGUUCGGACGACCCUUUGUGGAACUUCUCAGCCUCCAUGAUCAUAUAAGUCGACAUUUUCACUGGACCGAUUGGACUGAAAAGGCAAGAUUGAAUGAGGCAGUUCUUGUUAGCAGCGUGAGAACAGACUAGUACGUGAUGGGACAGUCCCUGCUGUGCAUAUUCUCGGCUCCUUUGAAGUGAUCUAGUCAUGGACUUCAGUAUCCAGUGGAACGGAAGGACUGGAAUGGUCUUCAGGAUAAACAGUAUUGCUGCUCUGAAGACAGCUUGAGUAACACUGUUCUUGGACAUUGAUGGGCUUGUCUAAUUAAGGAACAGACACAAGGGAAGUGUCCCGAUGUCCUUGGGAACAUUCACAGACUGAAUUUUACCAGUUCCUGAAUAUCAGCCUUCAUCAGGGUCCUACCAGGCUUCUAAGUAUCAAUGUUCAAUGGAGCUUGGAUUUGUCAUGGGUCUCUGGUGACAAACAUUGGUCAUAUUGGCUUGUCACUUACUACUUUUUAUGGAAGAAGCUGGAAAAGCCACACUGAUAAGGAUUGAGCUCCUGAGCAGCCAGAAGUCCCUCAGGGCAGCACACACGCCUGAAAGGGAUUGUGCAUGGUGGAUUCUGACAGCACCCCAUAUAGGAAAAGGAUACCUAAAUGUGUAAACAGAAUCAGAGGCCACAAAUUAAACUCUUCCAUCAAUGGUUGGAAGACUGGACCAUAGCUGCACUUGAACUCAUCCACCAAAGGUUGGAAGACUGGACCAUAGCUGCACUUGAACUCUUCCACCAAAUCCCUUCAAAAGACAAAACUCUCUCUCUCUAGAGGUCUUGAGGCUUAGCUCAAAGCAAUGGCUGCAAGCUUGAAAUUUGUUUUUUUCUUUUAUUUAAGCUAAAAUGUCAUGUAAAUUUUGAUAUCUACUGCAUAAAGCAUGUCUUUGUUUUGAUAUAAAAAUAACACUUUAUUUCUUGUUAACUUACUUUUUUCCCAAAUAGGGAUUGGGGUGUGGGGGCAGUAUAUACCAGGAAAUGUACUUAGAGCUUCACAAAUGCUAUUACAUGUAAAUCUCACAGGAAGGUAUUAUUAAUCCUAUAUUUUUGUUGAUGAGACAAAGCUGUAUAGUAGUUGAAAUGUUCACCCAUUGUCACACAUUAGAAAGGGGAGAAGAAGAAUUCUAAGUUCAGUUUGUCUGUCCUUAAAGUCUGCUCUCCUGAAAAGGGUAGGCGCUCUGUUGACUUCAUAUGCUUUGCUGAGUAUCCAUUUAUUUACCUGCCCUUAUUGAAUGAAAUCUCUACAUCUAAUUUAAUAAAGUCACUCCAAGCAGUGAGCUUAACUUAAGAAAAAGAUAGUGUGACAAUUCGGUUUGCCAUUAGAACUUGGGGGCCUAUGUAAUCCAAAAGAUCAUUGCAUCAGAUAAAAGAUGGUCCCCCAAAUCAGUCCCCAGGGAUGCUCUAUCAGGAGCCGUUAUGCACG